rnacentral:misc_RNA from 1 species
UAAAGUGCGAAAUGAAGUGCGAUUUGCAUGAAUCUGUGAGUCAUCAUAUAUUUGAACGCAACUGGCGCCCAGCAAUGGGCAUGUCUGUUUGAGGGUUGUACGAACGUGGAUUGCAGAGUUGCCGAAAGGCAACGAGUAAUCUGAUGUGUCGGCAUUGGAUGCUGAUUAAACGAGGCAAGGAUCGACAAGAGGAACAGCUUGUGAUAGAGAGCAAAGCUCUUCUCGAGAGGUUCAUCUUUAAGAUCGCAAGUGCUGAAUUCUAAUAUUCACACACCCUAAUUACUCAACCUCAAAUCAGGCAAGAUCACCCGCUGAACUUAA